GUUGUGAGUGUUGCUGGUGGAUGAGAAUAGCUCAGUUUAUGGAUUGAACAGUCUUUUCCGCUGAACUCAUUAAAUGCAAAUGAAAAUGUAAAACAAAAAAAACAGUGAAAUAAAAAUAUACAAUUAAUUGUACUUGAGUAAAAAUGUGGAUUUCUUUUUUCUAUUUUCUGAAUCUAAUGAAAUUGCAAGGUCACUCACAAGUGAUUGUAAUUAGCU
rnacentral:lncRNA from 1 species